UGGCCUCUUUUUCCCAUAUGCAAUUCCUAUUGCCUAUGAUAAUCGCAGAUUCUUUUCAGUCACAGCAGCUCUCAUCUGUCUCAUAUUUUUGGGAGCAAAUUGUGUACCUAGCAUCUGGGAUGCCUUCCAGUUUACUGGCGCCACGGCUACUGUCUCUGUUGGUUUCAUUUUUCCAGCUGCUAUUGUCCUUAGGGAUACACAUGGAAUUGCAACCAAGAGGGACAGGCUAGUGUCAUCAG
rnacentral:misc_RNA from 1 species